rnacentral:rRNA from 1 species
AGUCGAACGAUGAAGGAGAGCUUGCUCUCUGGAUUAGUGGCGAACGGGUGAGUAACACGUGAGUAACCUGCCCUUGACUCUGGGAUAAGCGUUGGAAACGACGUCUAAUACCGGAUACGACCAGCCUCGGCAUCGGGUGUUGGUGGAAAGAAUUUUGGUCAAGGAUGGACUCGCGGCCUAUCAGGUAGUUGGUGAGGUAAUGGCUCACCAAGCCUACGACGGGUAGCCGGCCUGAGAGGGUGACCGGCCACACUGGGACUGAGACACGGCCCAGACUCCUACGGGAGGCAGCAGUGGGGAAUAUUGCACAAUGGGCGAAAGCCUGAUGCAGCAACGCCGCGUGAGGGACGACGGCCUUCGGGUUGUAAACCUCUUUUAGCAGGGAAGAAGCGAAAGUGACGGUACCUGCAGAAAAAGCACCGGCUAACUACGUGCCAGCAGCCGCGGUAAUACGUAGGGUGCAAGCGUUGUCCGGAAUUAUUGGGCGUAAAGAGCUCGUAGGCGGUUUGUCGCGUCUGCUGUGAAAACCCGAGGCUCAACCUCGGGCCUGCAGUGGGUACGGGCAGACUAGAGUGCGGUAGGGGAGAUUGGAAUUCCUGGUGUAGCGGUGGAAUGCGCAGAUAUCAGGAGGAACACCGAUGGCGAAGGCAGAUCUCUGGGCCGUUACUGACGCUGAGGAGCGAAAGGGUGGGGAGCAAACAGGCUUAGAUACCCUGGUAGUCCACCCCGUAAACGUUGGGAACUAGAUGUGGGGACCAUUCCACGGUCUCCGUGUCGCAGCUAACGCAUUAAG